rnacentral:rRNA from 1 species
GACAGAGGGUGCAAACGUUGCUCGGAAUCACUGGGCGUAAAGGGCGCGUAGGCGGUUCGGUAAGUCCUGUGUGAAAUCCCUCGGCUCAACUGAGGAACUGCACGGGAGACUGCCGGGCUUGAGUUCGGGAGAGGGAAGCGGAAUUCCGGGUGUAGCGGUGAAAUGCGUAGAUAUCCGGAGGAACACCGGUGGCGAAGGCGGCUUCCUGGACCGACACUGACGCUGAGGCGCGAAAGCUAGGGGAGCAAACGGG